rnacentral:rRNA from 1 species
CCUACGGGAGGCAGCAGUCGAGAAUCAUUCACAAUGGGGGAAACCCUGAUGGUGCGACGCCGCGUGGGGGAAUGAAGGUCUUCGGAUUGUAAACCCCUGUCAUGUGGGAGCAAAUUAAAAAGAUAGUACCACAAGAGGAAGAGACGGCUAACUCUGUGCCAGCAGCCGCGGUAAUACAGAGGUCUCAAGCGUUGUUCGGAAUCCCUGGGCGUAAUGCGUGCGUAGGCUGUUUCGUAAGUCGUGUGUGAAAGGCGCGGGCUCAACCCGCGGACGGCACAUGAUACUGCGAGACUAGAGUAAUGGAGGGGGAACCGGAAUUCUCGGUGUAGCAGUGAAAUGCGUAGAUAUCGAGAGGAACACUCGUGGCGAAGGCGGGUUCCUGGACAUUAACUGACGCUGAGGCACGAAGGCCAAGGGAGCGAAAGGGAUUAGAUACCCUAGUAGUC